rnacentral:rRNA from 1 species
CAAGUCGAGUGCGCGGUUGUAGCAAUACAACUGGCGCACGGCGCACGGGUGCGUAACACGUGGGUAACCUGCCCUUUGGUGGGGAAUAACUCCGCGAAAGCGGAGCUAAUUCCGCAUAAGAUCCGCAAGGAUGAAAGCCGCAAGGCGCCGAAGGAGGGGCCCGCGCCCGAUUAGCUAGUUGGUGAGGUAAUGGCUCACCAAGGCUUUGAUCGGUAGCUGGUCUGAGAGGAUGAUCAGCCACACUGGAACUGAGACACGGUCCAGACUCCUACGGGAGGCAGCAGUGGGGAAUCUUGCACAAUGGGCGAAAGCCUGAUGCAGCGACGCCGCGUGGGGGAUGAAGCAUUUCGGUGUGUAAACCCCUUUCGAUCCGGACGAAACCCCGCAAGGGAUUGACGGUACGGAUAUAAGAAGCCCCGGCUAACUACGUGCCAGCAGCCGCGGUAAGACGUAGGGGGCCAGCGUUGUUCGGAAUUACUGGGUGUAAAGGGUUCGUAGGCGGUGCGGCAAGUUGGGAGUGAAAUCCCUGGGCUUAACCCAGAGGCUGCUUCCGAAACUGCUGUGCUUGAGUGUGGGAGAGGCGCGUGGAAUUGCAGGUGUAGCGGUGAAAUGCGUAGAUAUCUGCAGGAACACCCGUGGCGAAAGCGGCGCGCUGGACCACUACUGACGCUGAGGAACGAAAGCUAGGGGAGCAAACAGGAUUAGAUACCCUGGUAGUCCUAGCCCUAAACGAUCAGGACUUGGGGUGCCACCCGUUCGGGUGUCGUCCCGGAGCUAACGCGUUAAGUCCUGCACCUGGGGAGUACGGUCGCAAGACUGAAACUCAAAGGAAUUGACGGGGGCCCGCACAAGCGGUGGAACAUGUGGUUCAAUU